rnacentral:rRNA from 1 species
CUGCUGCCUUCCGUAGGAGUCUGGUCCGUGUCUCAGUACCAGUGUGGGGGACCUUCCUCUCAGAACCCCUACGCAUCGUCGCCUCGGUGGGCCGUUACCCCGCCGACUAGCUAAUGCGCCGCAUGGCCAUCCGCAGCCGAUGAAUCUUUAACCGCCGAGGGAUGCCCCUCUGCGGUGUUACGCGGUAUUAGACGGAAUUUCUUCCGCUUAUCCCCCUGCUGCGGGCAGGUUCCAUACGUGUUACUCACCCGUGCGCCGGUCGCCGGG